rnacentral:rRNA from 1 species
AUGGCUGUUGUCCUGGACGCUUUCGUGCCAUACGUGAAGAAGAUGAUUACCAGCAUGGCGGAAGAGGAGGUGCGCAUGCUGCUGGGCGUCUCUGGCGAGAUCAAGAGGCUGGAGGCCAACCUGGUGUACCUGCAGGGCUACCUGGCCGAUGCAGAGAGGAGGCACAUCACCGACAAAAGCGUGAAGGUGUGGGUGGGGAGGCUCAAGGACGCCAUGUACGAGGCUACCGACAUCCUCGAGCUCUGUCAACUGGAGGCCAUGGAGCGACCGAAGGAGAGCGGGCGUAAUGCCUCCAGCUCCACCCGCUUCCGUUCUCUCGUAGGGCAGCUGAAGAAGAAGCUGCAGGGCUUCCUCGAUCCGCUUCUGUUCUGCCUGCAGAACCCGGCCUUCACCCAUGAGAUCGGCGGCCGGAUCAAGAGGCUGAACGGGAAGCUGGACAGCGUCCGCAAGGACGCCCUGGUGUUCAACUUCCAUGCCAACUUCGGUUCAUACGAGGAACGGAGGCAGCCGUCGGAUCCGGCGAGCCACAGCAGGAUCAACAGGACGACGCCAGGGUUCGACGAGUCAUCCAUCGUGGGGGACAAGGUCGAGAUGGACACAGAGGAGUUGGUGCACAAGCUCACCAGCCACGGCCACGACAUGGCAUCCGCCAGGGUGAAGGUGGUGUCCAUCGUCGGCCCGGGCGGCAUGGGCAAGAGCACCCUCGCCAAGAAGGUCUUCGCGCAGGAGGCCAUCAAGGUGGAGUUCAAGACCAGGAUAUGGCUGGGCAUCACCCGGCGCUUCGACAAGGCGGAGCUGCUGAGAGCCGCCAUCACGCACGCCGGUGGCAAGCAUGGCGGCGAGAGGGAUGAGUCCAUGCUCGAGACAGCCCUCACCGAUGCCCUGUUGGCCAACAGAUUCCUGUUGGUCUUGGAUGACGUGUGGAGCGACCGAGCAUGGAAGGAGGUGCUCCAGGUUCCCGUCGUCAACGCCGGUCGGAGGCACCCGGGGAGCCGCGUCCUUGUCACCACGAGGAACGAAGACGUCGCUUUCAGGAUGGGAGCCUCCGGCAGCGAUCAAAUCCAUGUCAGCAAACUGGACGAGGAUGAUGCCUGGUCCUUGCUCAAAAAACAGCUGCCACAAUUGCAGGAUGACGAGAGUCACUUUGAUCAGCUAAAAGAUGUUGGGAUGAAGAUCAUUGAAAAAUGUGACGGUUUACCACUUGCCAUUAAAGUGAUGGGAGGACUCUUAAGCACAAGACACCCAAGCGAACGUGAAUGGGAGAUUGUUCUGAACAAGAAUCUCGAAUGGGAAGAGCAUGGGUCACAGGAGGAACUGAACUACUCGGUACAUCUGAGCUACGACGAUCUAUCUCCAGAGCUGAAGCAGUGCUUUCUAUAUUACUCACUCUUCCCCAAGGGUUCAGAAUUCCUAGAGGAUAUAGCCAUUAGCAUGUGGGUUAGUGAAGGGUUUGUUCAGGCCGACGAGAGGUCAGAGUCAGACCAACUAGACCUAGAGGAGAUAGGAGCUGAGUACCACCGGGAGUUAGUCGCCAGGAACCUUCUAGAGACCAACGAGUCAGCUGAGAGCGGAUGGGCCUACAUCAUGCACGAUGUUGUCCGUUCCUUUGCUCGGUUUGUGGCUAGGGAAGAAGCUCUUGUGGUUCUCAAGGAGCAGACCGACAUUAGAAGCCUUCUUUCACAUAACCAGAGAAUCCGCCGUCUGUCCAUGAAAUUAACCAAUUCAGUACUGGAGUGGGAUAUCCUAGAAAAGCUGGAAUCACUAAGGACACUGGUUAUAGCCUGCAACUUCAAGCCCGGCAGUGGUUCUGGUCCUUCACUUGCUUCUUCUUUUGCUAGCUUACGGGCACUGGAUAUCAGCUUUGCAGACUGCGACUGGUUGGUCGACCAUUUGUCUCAGCUGAGGCACCUACGGUAUUUGUCCUUCACUCAGACGGAUGUAUCUAGGCUGCCCCAUGACAUCCACAAGAUGAAGUUCCUUGAGCACAUUGCACUGUUCAACUGCAGGAAGCUGGACAAGCUUCCUGACGGCAUCGUAAAGCUGGGGCGUCUAAGGUAUCUCUCCAUAGAUGGGUCCAGUGUUGAUGUUGUGCCCAAGGGGUUUGGCGCGCUGACGAAUCUGAGGUCAGUCUAUGGGUUUCCGGCAAAGAUGGUUGGGGACUGGUGUACUUUAGAAGAACUGGAGCAUCUCUUUCAUCUUAGGACUCUUAGGAUACAUGGUCUGGAAAAUGUGCCUGGUGGUUCAGUGGCGGCAAGGGCCAUGAUCGGCAGCAAGAAGCAUCUCAGCUUUCUGGACUUGAUCUGCCACAAGAAUGAGGAGGAAGAUGGAGUGGGAGGAGAACAGAUUCCUGAAAAGGACCAGGAGCGAAUUGAGGCGGUGUUCGAUGAGCUCUGCCCACCGCCGUACCUGGAGGAUCUGUUCAUGGCAGGAUACUUCGGCCGUCGGCUGCCAUACUGGAUGCGGGCGCCAACUGCAAUGGCCUUCAAGAGCUUGACUGGCAUCACGCUAACGCGUCUGCGUUGUUGCACCCAGCUACCCGACGGAUUGUGCGGGAUGGUCAGCCUGGAAGGGCUGGCGGUCAACUGGGCUCCGGCCAUCAAGCUCGUCGGGCCCGACUUCCAAGCCCUUCCAAGUGGAAAUGGCGGCGCUGGUGACCUCUUCGUGACAAGACCGUUCCCUAAGCUGAAGAACCUGAAGCUGCACAACAUGACGGGAUGGGAGGAGUGGGACUGGGCGGAGGAGGAGCAGGGCGGGGCCAUCUCCAUGCCUGCACUGGAGUAUCUCAGCAUCAUCCAUUGCAUGCUCAGCCGUCUCCCCCCGGGACUUGCUAGCAGCAACAGGUAUAACCUGAGAACGCUCGACCUCAGCAAGCUCAGCGCCCUAGCGUCGCUGGAGAAUUUCCCUUCGGUCAUGGAGCUCGAUGUGCUCUACUGCCCCAAGCUCAAGAAGAUCAGUGGCUUCGCGAUGCUCCGAAGGAUGGCCAUCACUGAUUGCCCGGAGCUGGAGACGCUGGAAGGUGUCCCGGUGCUCAAGAGCUUGCUGCUGAAUGAUGAGCCAUGGGAGAUUGUCGGGACGUCUGCGUAUCAAGCUGGACAGCCGCGUCAGCUCCCACAAAACCUCACCAUUACCAGGUAG